GACGGAGGAUGCAAGUGUUAUCCGGAAUCACUGGGCGUAAAGCGUCUGUAGGUGGUUUAAUAAGUCAACUGUUAAAUCUUGAGGCUCAACCUCAAAAUCGCAGUCGAAACUAUUAGGCUAGAGUAUAGUAGGGGUAAAGGGAAUUUCCAGUGGAGCGGUGAAAUGCGUAGAGAUUGGAAAGAACACCGAUGGCGAAGGCACUUUACUGGGCUAUUACUAACACUCAGAGACGAAAGCUAGGGUAGCAAAUAGGGAGUUAAGAUGACCC
rnacentral:rRNA from 1 species